UACGUAGGGUGCGAGCGUUAAUCGGAAUUACUGGGCGUAAAGUGUGCGCAGGCGGCCGCGCAAGUCGAGUGUGAAAGCCCCGAGCUUAACUUGGGAAUUGCGCUCGAAACUACGUGGCUGGAGUGUGGCAGAGGAAGGUGGAAUUCCACGUGUAGCGGUGAAAUGCGUAGAUAUCUGGAGGAACACCCGUGGUGCAGACGGCUUGCUGGACCGUGACUGACGCUGAGGCACGAAAGCGUGGGUAGCAAACAGG
rnacentral:rRNA from 1 species